GGCGGCGUAGCCUAACACAUGCAAGUCGAGCGAGGAGAGUCCUUCGGGAUGAUCCUAGCGGCGGACGGGUGAGUAACACGUGGGCAACCUGCCUCAUAGAGAGGAAUAGCCUUCCGAAAGGGAGAUUAAUACCUCAUAACAUUGCAGUUCGCAUGGAACAGCAAUUAAAGGAGCAAUCCGCUAUGAGAUGGGCCCGCGGCGCAUUAGCUAGUUGGUGAGGUAACGGCUCACCAAGGCGACGAUGCGUAGCCGACCUGAGAGGGUCGAUCGGCCACAUUGGGACUGAGACACGGCCCAGACUCCUACGGGAGGCAGCAGUGAGGAAUAUUGCACAAUGGGGGAAACCCUGAUGCAGCCAACGCCGCGUGAGUGAUGACGGCCUUCGGGUUGUAAAGGCUCUGUCUUCAGGGACGAUAAUGACGGUACCUGAGGAGGAAGCCACGGCUAACUACGUGCCAGCAGCAGC
rnacentral:rRNA from 1 species